rnacentral:rRNA from 1 species
AGCAGCUUCCGUAAUUCCAGCUCCAAUAGCGUAUAUUAAAGUUGUUGCAGUUAAAAAGCUCGUAGUUGAAUUUCGGGGUUCUACUGUUGGUCGGGCAAUUGUCUGUACUGGCAUGUGGAAUUUCUACCUUCUGGGGAACCAUCAUGUUAUUAAUUUAGCGUGGUGGGAAACCAGGACCUUUACCUUGAAAAAAUUAGAGUGUUCAAAGCAGGCUUACGUCUGAAUACAUUAGCAUGGAAUAAUAAAAUAGGACGGUGGUCCUGUUUUGUUGGUUUCUGAAUCACCGUAAUGAUUAAUAGGGAUAGUUGGGGGCAUUAGUAUUCAAUUGUCAGAGGUGAAAUUCUUGGAUUUAU